GCUUACACAGUGUUAUUAGUCAAUUAUAUCUCAAUAAAGCUGGAAAAUAUUAUGUUAGCUGGAAGAAUAAGAACGUUACAAUAAACAUUUUAAAAAUCCAAAAAAGAAGAGAAACUUGCUUGAGAUAGCAAAACAGGAUUUGCUUUCAGUUCCAACAACCCAUAAUCAGGUACUUCUGUAAAGUCCUUUUGUAGAAUGAUAGAAUGCUAUACAAAUGUUGAUUGUUACAUUGAUCUUGUGGGAGUUCUGUAAAAGAGGCCUAUCUAACUGUGUAUGUUGCCUUAUAGGGAAAUAAUACCGCAAACUAUCUAUCCUCAGGGGCCAGAGCUAUUGCACUGUUAUGCAGGAACUCUCAUUAAUGAGGUUCUUUUCAACAUUAUUUUCUCUAAGCCAGAUUGUUUAAUGCAAUAGUUACUCUUUUUAUCAAGAUAGGAAAGACUGUACUUGAAAGGAAUGAGGAGAGAGUUCUGUAGAUAUAUCAGUAUUCCAAAAAUCAUAAUGAAAAAACAAAUCACAGUUUUGCCAAGAAAAGACUUCACAGGAAAAAAAAAAUCAAAUGACAAAUACCUUUGCUCUUGGCUUAAAUAAUAGUUAAAUAGUAGUGACCAUGCUAUGCUGAUUAUAACUUGUUUGGCAUCUGGCGAUGUUUUUGAUCUUUAUUUGUGACUUAAUAAACACUGUCUAAGGUAGACAGUGUCCUUCAGAAUAUGAAAUCCAUUGGGAAAAAGUUCAUCGAAGUUUACCCCUUUGGCCUACUUUAUUACUCUCUCCUUUGUGUGUCAGCUCAGAGGCAUGCCUUUGACAUGAAAUUUUUUCUAGCUCCCCUCUCCUGUGGGCUCAUACAGACUCACCCUGUAGUCUAUGUACUCUUCAUCAUGUUCAUAAUACUCUGUACAUAAGAUCAUUACUGCAUUUUCCAUAUUAAUUUGUGUGUGUGUCUAACUCUCCUCAUCAACCUCCUCAAGGACAAGGAUCCUGUCUUAUUAAUUUUUAUUCCACGACUCAGGACAAAGAUUAAAACAUACGAGGAAUUUACAGAGUGAAUAGUAGGCUGGAAAUAUGCUUCGAACAUGAAGGUAAAGACAAUAAAUGGUAAUCAAGAAAUAAGGUAUUAAGAAUCUGGAUAACCCCAUGGAAAUGGAACAAAGAUGCGCCAAAGGAACUGUUUUUCACCAUGAGGACCACACUCUAGGAGAUGGUUGAGCAACACAAUAGGAGAAAUUGUGUCCCUGAAUGAUCCCUUGGAGCAAAAUCCCUGCUAGCCAAGAUUGAACAAAUUCCUGCAUUAGAGAGAGAAAAACUUAUCAUUUUGAUGAAUUUACUGAUUCUUUGGAGUUUUUAAU